GACGAACGCUGGCGGCGUGCUUAACACAUGCAAGUCGAACGAUGAACCCGGAGCUUGCUCCGGUGGAUUAGUGGCGAACGGGUGAGUAACACGUGAGUAACCUGCCCUUGACUCUGGGAUAACUCCGGGAAACCGGUGCUAAUACUGGCUAGGACUCCUGCCUGCAUGGGUGGGGGGGGAUAGAGUUAUCGGUGGAGGAUGGACUCGGGGCCUAUCAGCUUGUUGGUGGGGUAAUGGCUACCAAGGCGACGACGGGUAGCCGGCCUGAGAGGGUGACCGGCCACACUGGGACUGAGACACGGCCCAGACUCCUACGGGAGGCAGCAGUGGGGAAUAUUGCACAAUGGGCGGAAGCCUGAUGCAGCGACGCCGCGUGCGGGAUGACGGCCUUCGGGUUGUAAACCGCUUUCAGUAGGGACGAAGCUUUUGUGACGGUACCUACAGAAGAAGCACCGGCUAACUACGUGCCAGCCGCCGCCGUAAUAC
rnacentral:rRNA from 1 species